rnacentral:lncRNA from 1 species
GGUAUCGUAAUGACUAACCAUGCAGUACGUGAAAGAAGAGAAAUGAGCAACAAUAAGAGAAUAAAUAUAUAUAGAUAUAUAUAUCGGCAUCGCUUUGAGCUGCUUGUGGUGGUCGAGGUUCAACAGCGGGAUCCCUUCUUGCACGAGAGAACGCCGGCAGAGACAGUGAUGGUCCCGACGAGAGACGACGACCUGGCCCCCAAGCUCGAAGCCUUCGCGUAGCUCGACGAAGCUCCGGCCCCGGACGGCGUGAAGAAGGCUCCGUUCAGCAUCUGGUCCCCUUCCGACCUCCAGUUCCACUUCUUCCACUCGCUCUCCUGUGCGUCCUCGCGUUUAGUCACCUGCACAUCCAUCGUGCUGCUUAGAAGUCGUUUCACAGGCCUUAUUCUUUCGACUACGUACGUUUACUUGCAGCAGUGUCGAAGUACUUGCUUUGCUACCUUGUACUCUAAAUUAUCACCUUAUGCAUAUAUAUAUAGGGAAAAAGGGUAAAAGGGAAAAAGGAUAAUGUAAUCUGCUGCACCUUUAUGGUGCACUUGCAAGAACACCAUGAUGAGACAGCUUUAUAUGACCUACCUUUUCACUUUCUUCCUUUCUUAAGGAUUAAGAUGAAGACAGAGAUAAAUAUAUAUACCGUACUGACCAAUAUUAUUAGAAGAAAGAGUAUUUAUAGUUGUCGGUGAUAAAUGAAGGUCCCAU